rnacentral:rRNA from 1 species
UACCAGCACCCCGAGUGGUCGGGACGAUUAUUGGGCCUAAAGCAUCCGUAGCCGGUCCUACAAGUCUUCCGUUAAAUCCACCUGCUCAACAGAUGGGCUGCGGAAGAUACUAUAGGGCUAGGAGGCGGGAGAGGCAAGCGGUACUCAGUGGGUAGGGGUAAAAUCCUCUGAUCCAUUGAAGACCACCAGUGGCGAAGGCGGCUACCUGGCCCACUCUUGACGCUGAGGCGCGAAAGCUAGGGGAGCAAACGGG